GACGAACGCUGGCGGCGUGCUUAACACAUGCAAGUCGAACGCAGUGGCGAACGGGUGAGUAACGCGUAAUCAACCUGCCCUUCAGCGGGGCACAACAGUUGGAAACGACUGCUAAUACCCCAUACUGAGGGUGGGGAUUGCGUCUGAUUGGGUAGUUGGAGGGGUACCGGCCCACCAAGGCGAUGUUCAGUAGCCGGUCUGGGAGGGUGAACGGCCACAUUGGGACUGAGACACGGCCCAGACUCCUACGGGAGGCAGCAGUGGGGAAGCUUCCGGAAAGGACGAAAGUCUGACGGAGCAACGCCGCGGGAGUGAUGACGGCCUUCGGGUUGGAAAGCUCUGUUAAUCGGGACGCGGUACCGGAAUAGAAAGCCACGGCUAACUACGUGCCAGCCGCCGCGGUAAUAC
rnacentral:rRNA from 1 species